rnacentral:miRNA from 1 species
GACGUCGAAUAUCGAUGUCAUGAACAUCAAAGUUGAUCGUGUUUAUGACGUCGAAUAUCGAUGUCAUGAACAUCAAAGUUGAUCGUGUUUAUGACGUCGAAUAUGGAAGUCAUAAACACCAAUGUUGAUCGUGUUUAUCACUUCGAAAAUCGACGUCAUCAACACCAAAGUUGAUCCUGUUGAUCACUUCGAAUAUCGCCGUCAUAAACACCAAAGUUGAUCGUGAUUAUGACGUCGAAUAUCGACGUU